UGUGUGCAGACUGUGUUGGUUUAAAGUCAAACCAACAGAACGAAGGUCUAAUGGCGAAGGGAGUCCUCGUGUGCUCUUUGCGUAUUAUUCCAGAUAGGAGCGGUUACAUGACCGAAUCCGAUUUAGAUAAUGGUAUCCGAAUCAAUAGAGGUGUGGGCAAGUGCCAUAGCAAGAUAAAUACGCUCCAGGCUGCUUUCAUAAUUGCGAGAGGACUUCCAGAGAUGAUCAUCAUUUGGGUACAAUAUUGCUCUUCAGUUGGUACAAUAUUGUUCUUCAAUUGGUGCAGUGAUGAUCUUCAAUUGUUACAGUGAUGAUCUUCAAUUGUUACAGGGAUGAUCUUCAAUUCAUUCCUCAGUUCAUACAGUGAUAGGAUUUAAACAAAAUACAGUAUAUGCAAUCUAAUCAAACAGAAUACUGUUGGUAUUAUAGUAACAAUAUUGGAGAGAUCAUUGAAAAGACGAAAUAUCUAACCGGGCAAGCCCAACAUUAGUUUCGAAGAAAUUCUUAUUUUUAUAUUAAAUGACGAAGAAAAUUUAAGCUUAAAGAAUAUAAAAUGUUGAUGUACAAUGUUUUUAACACACAUACAUGUAUAUGUAAGAAUCAAACAGUUCUUUCAAUAAAUUUAUAUCACAAUAAUAAAUACAAUCAGAAAAUCGAUCUGUGAAAACAA